GGUUAAGCGACUAAGCGUACACGGUGGAUGCCCUGGCAGUCAGAGGCGAUGAAGGACGUGCUAAUCUGCGAUAAGCGCCGGUAAGGUGAUAUGAACCGUUAUAACCGGCGAUUUCCGAAUGGGGAAACCCAGUGUGACUCGUCACACUAUCAUUAACUGAAUCCAUAGGUUAAUGAGGCGAACCGGGGGAACUGAAACAUCUAAGUACCCCGAGGAAAAGAAAUCAACCGAGAUUCCCCCAGUAGCGGCGAGCGAACGGGGAGGAGCCCAGAGCCUGAAUCAGCAUGUGUGUUAGUGGAAGCGUCUGGAAAGGCGCGCGAUACAGGGUGACAGCCCCGUACACAAAAGCGCAUGUGCUGUGAGCUCGAUGAGUAGGGCGGGACACGUGGUAUCCUGUCUGAAUAUGGGGGGACCAUCCUCCAAGGCUAAAUACUCCUGACUGACCGAUAGUGAACCAGUACCGUGAGGGAAAGGCGAAAAGAACCCCGGCGAGGGGAGUGAAAAAGAACCUGAAACCGUGUACGUACAAGCAGUGGGAGCCCCACCACUAAGCCAGUGGUGAACUCCACAUACGCAUCCUUUGCUGAUGGCAAUGGUUAACGGAGCGAAAGCGACGUUCAACCGCAAAACAAGCAGAGGGGGCUUAGUGGUGGGGUGACUGCGUACCUUUUGUAUAAUGGGUCAGCGACUUAUAUUCUGUAGCAAGGUUAACCGUAUAGGGGAGCCGCAGGGAAACCGAGUCUUAACCGGGCGUUAAGUUGCAGGGUAUAGACCCGAAACCCGGUGAUCUAGCCAUGGGCAGGUUGAAGGUUGGGUAACACUAACUGGAGGACCGAACCGACUAAUGUUGAAAAAUUAGCGGAUGACCUGUGGCUGGGGGUGAAAGGCCAAUCAAACCGGGAGAUAGCUGGUUCUCCCCGAAAGCUAUUUAGGUAGCGCCUCGUGAAUUCAUCUCCGGGGGUAGAGCACUGUUUCGGCUAGGGGGCCAUCCCGGCUUACCAACCCGAUGCAAACUGCGAAUACCGGAGAAUGUUAUCACGGGAGACACACGGCGGGUGCUAACGUCCGUCGUGAAGAGGGAAACAACCCAGACCGCCAGCUAAGGUCCCAAAGUCAUGGUUAAGUGGGAAACGAUGUGGGAAGGCCCAGACAGCCAGGAUGUUGGCUUAGAAGCAGCCAUCAUUUAAAGAAAGCGUAAUAGCUCACUGGUCGAGUCGGCCUGCGCGGAAGAUGUAACGGGGCUAAACCAUGCACCGAAGCUGCGGCAGCGACACUCAGGUGUUGUUGGGUAGGGGAGCGUUCUGUAAGCCUGCGAAGGUGGCCUGUGAGGGUUGCUGGAGGUAUCAGAAGUGCGAAUGCUGACAUAAGUAACGAUAAAGCGGGUGAAAAGCCCGCUCGCCGGAAGACCAAGGGUUCCUGUCCAACGUUAAUCGGGGCAGGGUGAGUCGACCCCUAAGGCGAGGCCGAAAGGCGUAGUCGAUGGGAAACGGGUUAAUAUUCCCGUACUUGGUGUUACUGCGAAGGGGGGACGGAGAAGGCUAUGUUGGCCGGGCGACGGUUGUCCCGGUUUAAGCGUGUAGGUGUGUGUUCCAGGUAAAUCCGGUUCACUUUAACACUGAGGCGUGACGACGAGGCACUACGGUGCUGAAGCAACAAAUGCCCUGCUUCCAGGAAAAGCCUCUAAGCAUCAGGUAACAUCAAAUCGUACCCCAAACCGACACAGGUGGUCAGGUAGAGAAUACCAAGGCGCUUGAGAGAACUCGGGUGAAGGAACUAGGCAAAAUGGUGCCGUAACUUCGGGAGAAGGCACGCUGACACGUAGGUGAAGUGAUUUACUCAUGGAGCUGAAGUCAGUCGAAGAUACCAGCUGGCUGCAACUGUUUAUUAAAAACACAGCACUGUGCAAACACGAAAGUGGACGUAUACGGUGUGACGCCUGCCCGGUGCCGGAAGGUUAAUUGAUGGGGUCAGCGCAAGCGAAGCUCCUGAUCGAAGCCCCGGUAAACGGCGGCCGUAACUAUAACGGUCCUAAGGUAGCGAAAUUCCUUGUCGGGUAAGUUCCGACCUGCACGAAUGGCGUAAUGAUGGCCAGGCUGUCUCCACCCGAGACUCAGUGAAAUUGAACUCGCUGUGAAGAUGCAGUGUACCCGCGGCAAGACGGAAAGACCCCGUGAACCUUUACUAUAGCUUGACACUGAACAUUGAGCCUUGAUGUGUAGGAUAGGUGGGAGGCUUUGAAGUGUGGACGCCAGUCUGCAUGGAGCCGACCUUGAAAUACCACCCUUUAAUGUUUGAUGUUCUAACGUGGACCCGUAAUCCGGGUUGCGGACAGUGUCUGGUGGGUAGUUUGACUGGGGCGGUCUCCUCCUAAAGAGUAACGGAGGAGCACGAAGGUUGGCUAAUCCUGGUCGGACAUCAGGAGGUUAGUGCAAUGGCAUAAGCCAGCUUGACUGCGAGCGUGACGGCGCGAGCAGGUGCGAAAGCAGGUCAUAGUGAUCCGGUGGUUCUGAAUGGAAGGGCCAUCGCUCAACGGAUAAAAGGUACUCCGGGGAUAACAGGCUGAUACCGCCCAAGAGUUCAUAUCGACGGCGGUGUUUGGCACCUCGAUGUCGGCUCAUCACAUCCUGGGGCUGAAGUAGGUCCCAAGGGUAUGGCUGUUCGCCAUUUAAAGUGGUACGCGAGCUGGGUUUAGAACGUCGUGAGACAGUUCGGUCCCUAUCUGCCGUGGGCGCUGGAGAACUGAGGGGGGCUGCUCCUAGUACGAGAGGACCGGAGUGGACGCAUCACUGGUGUUCGGGUUGUCAUGCCAAUGGCACUGCCCGGUAGCUAAAUGCGGAAGAGAUAAGUGCUGAAAGCAUCUAAGCACGAAACUUGCCCCGAGAUGAGUUCUCCCUGAGACUUAAAGUCUCCUGAAGGAACGUUGAAGACGACGACGUUGAUAGGCCGGGUGUGUAAGCGCAGCGAUGCGUUGAGCUAACCGGUACUAAUGAACCGUGAGGCUUAACCUU
rnacentral:rRNA from 5 species